GCGACCGUGGCGCAAUUGGAAGACGCGCUGGGGUUGGACCCCAGAUGUUGCAGGUUCGAAGCCUGUCGGUCGCA
rnacentral:tRNA from 1 species